UCUAGCAUUGAAUAUCUCACUGCCGAUUUAAAAUUUUCAUCCAAGAGUUCUAUCAGAAAAGAAAUUACUUGUGUCAUUUGCAAGCUUCAUAUACAACAAUUCUAACUGCUUGCAGAUGAAUACAGUUUUUCCCAUUCAGUAUCCUAACCAAAGGUAACUCUGAAACCUUCUUCAUCAAUUUGAAUUAUUUAGCCUCUUCAAUAAUGGAUUGAAUCCGACUAGGUUAAUGCCACCAUCUAAGUCAAGACUAUCGAAAUUUUAUGUUGCUGUAUGAUUUAAGUUACCUGUAGUAGAAAAGUACUACUCUCAAUCUUUGAGUCCUAGUUUCAUACCAUUCGCAACACCUCAAAGUUCUCACCAAGGUGCAAGGUACUUUAACCAACCGGAAAGUAUUUUAGACAUCAUAGAUUGAAUUGAUAGAAUAUAUCUAUGUACUUCACUUUUGUAUUCAUACUACUUAUUGACACUAUAAACUCUAAUUAAUUUGAAAUUUUGUGGAACCUGUCUUUUGAAUUCUCAUGUGUGGUGUUUUGUACUUGUCAAGGUUGAAUAUUUUUUUUCCUAAACUUGGAACUUCCUGAAAAGAUUUAUAUUCAUAAUUACCUGCAAAAUAAAAAAACCAAAUUAGCAAAAAAGUCUGCUAGAGUAUUUCGAUUCUUCCUUAAGGAGUGUUGUACUCUUACUGAUAGCACCUCCCUUGGGAUAUUGUUUAAUGCUUUUUUUUCUCUCAAAGUUUUUUUCUUGACAAGUAUAGCAGGAAAAAUUGUUUUAUGAUAACGGCAAGAAAGCUUAACAUUUUUAAAAUUGAUGACAUACACUCUUGACGAUGGAAGACACACUGCAAUUCCAGGUUUAUAUCUUUGACAUUUCCUUAAUUUGGAUAUUUGAUCUACAACUUGAUUCCUCUAACUUAUAAAUGUUUUAUGCAAUUGAUUUGCUUUCUUUCUAUCUUUCAGACCAUUUAUUUCAAAGAUUGUCUCUUCGUUUCUACUGAUAAAAUUAAGGAAAUGCAUUUAUGUUAGAGUUUAUUUUAUGUACAAUGUAUAAAGAAUAACAUUCACUAUCAAAUCAAGUUAACCUAUUAACAAUAUGUAAUUUUCAUACCAAGUUUGAUAUGAUAAUGUAUAAAAUAGAUUUUUUUAAAGAAAAAAUUUAGCAACCUUUUCUUUAAAAUAAAAAAACUCAAUAGAGAUAAGUACAAGCAAAGGGAGCUGAACCUUUCAUUUCCAAUCCUAAUGAGGUAACAAACCUCUACUAACGAACAACCAUGAAGAAAAUAAAAUUUAGAGAGAAGUAGGAUUUUGUGAUUACCACAGAGUUUAUAAUACACUAUAUAAAAAUAAUACAAAUUAAGGUGCUUAAAUAAUCAAAAAUAUGGCAACCAAGAAUUAAAAGUUUGAAUUAUCGGCCUCAAACUUCCUUUGUCAAGUGAAUGAAUUAAAAAAGAGUGUCUGCACAUCUAAAUUAACCUGAAGUGUUUUCCUCUUGUUUUCUUCUUCGAACUUGUCCAACAACACUUGUUAGUUCAUCAUUUCUUCAUGGAUUAUUGGAUCUUGUUAAAGCUAUUGAUACUUCCAUAUGAUGCUUCUUUGACAGUCACAUUGUAGGUGCCUUGGAACAAACUUCUUAGUCACUUUAUCGUUCCAACUAUGUUGUCUUCCUUAUGUCAAUUUCUUGCUUCUGUUCUUUCCAUUUCAAUGUUGCCUAGGCGAGAUAUACCCUUCCCUAGCCAUUGUAAGAGUUAGUGUUUCAAUUUAUUUUGAAACAAAUUCAUCCGUUUUGAAAUAACAAAUACAUGAAUGUGAAUUGUAAUAUUCAUUUAUUUUAAUUCUAUAUUAUAAACAUUUGCAAGAAGUUUUUCUUUAA